GCGGGAAUAGCUCAGUUGGUAGAGCACGACCUUGCCAAGGUCGGGGUCGCGAGUUCGAGUCUC
rnacentral:tRNA from 6 species